rnacentral:rRNA from 1 species
GACGAACGCUGGCGGCGUGCUUAACACAUGCAAGUCGAACGAAGAGCGAUGGCAUCUUGCUUCUAUCAAUCUUAGUGGCGAGCGGGUGAGUAACGCGUAAUCAACCUUCCCUUCAGAGGGGGACAACAGUUGGUAACGACUGCUACUACCGCAUACGACCUAAUCUCGGCAUCGAGGAUAGAUGAACGGCGGCCUCUACAUGUCAGCUAUCAUUGCAGGAGGGGAGUGCGUCUGAUUCGGUAGGUGGCGGGGUAGCGGCGCACCAAGGCGAUGAUCAGUAGCAGGUCUGAGAGGAUGAACAGCCACCUUGGGACUGUGACACGGCACAGACUCCUACGGGAGGCAGCAGUGGGGAAUCUUGCGGAAUGGACGGAAGACUGACGGAGCAGCGCCGAGUGAGGAAUGAGGGCCUUCGGGUUGGAAAGCACGGUUAAUCGGGACGAAAGGCCUUCUUGCGAAUAGUGAGAAGGAUUGACGGUACCGGAAUAGAAAGCAACGGCUAACUACGUG